rnacentral:rRNA from 1 species
UACGGAGGGUGCGAGCGUUAUCCGGAUUUACUGGGUUUAAAGGGUGUGUAGGCGGGCUGGUAAGUCAGGGGUGAAAUCCCGGAGCUCAACUCCGGAACUGCCUUUGAUACUACUGGUCUUGAAUAUUGUUGAGGUGGGCGGAAUGUGUCAUGUAGCGGUGAAAUGCAUAGAUAUGACACAGAACACCGAUUGCGAAGGCAGCUCACUGGGCAAUGAUUGACGCUGAGGCACGAAAAGCGUGGGGAGUCAAACAGGA